GAUGAAGAACGUAGCGAAAUGCGAUACUUGGUGUGAAUUGCAGAAUCCCGCGAAUCAUCGAGUUUUUGAACGCAAGUUGCGCCCGAAGCCAUUCGGCCGAGGGCACGUCUGCCUGGGUGUCACGCAUCGUUGCCCCCCCAAACUCCGGUUCGGGCGGGGCGGAAGUUGGCCUCCCGUGCGUGCCUGCGCGCGCGGUUAGCCCAAGAGCGAGUCCUCGGCGACGAGCGCCACGACAAUCGGUGGUUUUUUUACCCUCGUUCCUCGUCGUGCGUGUCCCGUCGCCCGAACGCGCUCUUGUGACCCUCACGCGUCGCCUCGGCGGCGCUCCCAACGCGACCCCAGGUCAGGCGGGACUACCCGCUGAGUUUAAGCAUAUCAAUAAGCGGAGGA
rnacentral:misc_RNA from 1 species